CAGCACAAAUUGACUACCUUGCCCAGCAACACCUUGACAGAAUGGUACAUAUAUUGGAUGAGGAAUACAGCAGCAAUAUGUUCAUUGUAAAGAGGUGUUCAUUCUUUUUGGUUGGCUUUGGAAAGAAAUGGAAACUGGACUGAAAAUUCACAAAGGGUGCUUUAAAAGCCCCUGCCUCCUUGACCACAUCUUCCCUCUUCCCUGCAAACGUGGUCAAACCCAAAGACAGGAACAUCAUACUCCACACCAUCCUGCAGCGUAAUGGGAACAUGACAUCUGGACUUCUUCAGGAUGAGUCGCACACUUUUCCUCCUUUCUAAUUCUGCAGAGACUUGGCACCUCUGUGUGAUGAAAUCCAAAUGCUGGCUGUGGUUACAGGGCUGAGCAAAACACAGAGCAGAUGAAGAGAUACAGAUAUGUCUGCAAUUGCAAGAAACAGUCUCCAGACAGUCUCCUUAUCCCCUCAGUGGCAAAUCAACACUUACAAAAAAAUUGUCCAGAAGAAGCAGACAAGUGG